rnacentral:rRNA from 1 species
AACGAACGCUGGCGGCGUACCUAACACAUGCAAGUCGUACGAGAAAUUCCGAUUCGUCGGGAGAGUAAAGUGGCGAACGGGUGAGUAACACUAGGGUAAUCUUCCCUUAAAUAAGGGAUAACGUUGCGAAAGCGACGCUAAUACCUUAUAAGACUACGAUCUCUUAGGAGGUAGUAGGAAAAGAUGGCCUCUGUUUCAAGCUAUCGUUUAAGGAUGAGCCCUAGCACUAUUAGCUAGUUGGUGAGGUAACGGCUCACCAAGGCGACGAUGGUUAGCUGGUCUGAGAGGAUGGCCAGCCACACUGGAACUGAGACACGGUCCAGACUCCUACGGGAGGCAGCAGUGAGGAAUAUUGCGCAAAUGGGGGCAACCCUGACGCAGUGACGCCGCGUGAGUGAUGAAGGCUUUCGAGUCGUAAAGCACUUUUGAGAGGAUGAGGAAGGACGGUACUCUCAGAAUAAGUCUCGGCUAACUACGUGCCAGCAGCCGCGGUAAUCU